GCCAGACUCCUACGGGAGGCAGCAGUGAGGAAUAUUGGUCAAUGGGCGGGAGCCUGAACCAGCCAAGUCGCGUGAGGGAAGACGGUCCUACGGAUUGUAAACCUCUUUUGCCGGGGAGCAACGGGGUCCUUGCGAGGGCCCGAUGAGAGUACCCGGAGAAAAAGCAUCGGCUAACUCCGUGCCAGCAGCCGCGGUAAUACGGAGGAUGCGAGCGUUAUCCGGAUUUAUUGGGUUUAAAGGGUGCGUAGGCGGGAUGCCAAGUCAGCGGUCAAAUACGGGGGCUCAACCUGCGUCCGCCGUUGAAACUGGCGUUCUUGAGUGGGCGAGAAGUACGCGGAAUGCGUGGUGUAGCGGUGAAAUGCAUAGAUAUCACGCAGAACCCCGAUUGCGAAGGCAGCGUACCGGCGCCCAACUGACGCUGAAGCACGAAAGCGUGGGUAUCGAACAGGAUUAGAUACCCCAGUAGAG
rnacentral:rRNA from 1 species